UACGAAGGGGGCUAGCGUUGCUCGGAAUCACUGGGCGUAAAGGGUGCGUAGGCGGGAUCUUAAGUCAGAGGUGAAAGCCUGGAGCUCAACUCCAGAACUGCCUUUGAUACUGGAAUUCUUGAGUUCGGAAGAGGUAGGUGGAACUGCGAGUGUAGAGGUGAAAUUCGUAGAUAUUCGCAAGAACACCAGUGGCGAAGGCGGCCUACUGGUCCGAUAACUGACGCUGAGGCACGAAAGCGUGGGGAGCAAA
rnacentral:rRNA from 1 species